rnacentral:tRNA from 1 species
GGGAGUGGAUCGGUGCUGGUGUGCCGCCCGGUCUUCAAAGCCGGUUAGGGCCUCGUGAACAGCGUGGGCCGGUGGGUUCGAUUCCCAUGCACUCCCGCCA